rnacentral:rRNA from 1 species
AUUGAACGCUGGCGGCAGGCCUAACACAUGCAAGUCGAGCGAGCGGCGGACGGGUGAGUAAUGUCUGGGAAACUGCCUGAUGGAGGGGGAUAACUACUGGGAACGGUAGCUAAUACCGCAUACCAUCAGAUGUGCCCCGAUGGGCUUAGCUAGUAGGUGGGUUAACGGCUCACCUAGGCUACGAUCCCUAGCUGGUCUGAGAGGAUGACCAGCCACACGGGAACUGAGACACGGUCCAGACUCCGACGGGAGGCAGCAGUGGGGAAUAUUGCACAAUGGGCGCAAGCCUGAUGCAGCCAUGCCGCGUGUAUGAAGAAGGCCUUCGGGUUGUAAAGUACUUUCAGCGGGGAGGCGUUACCCGCAGAAGAAGCACCGGCUAACUCCGUGCCAGCAGCCGCGGUAAUUC